rnacentral:rRNA from 1 species
GAGAUUCCCCCAGUAGCGGCGAGCGAACGGGGAGCAGCCCAGAGCCUGAAUCAGUGUGUGUGUUAGUGGAAGCGUCUGGAAAGGCGCGCGAUACAGGGUGACAGCCCCGUACACAAAAAUGCACAUACUGUGAGCUCGAUGAGUAGGGCGGGACACGUGGUAUCCUGUCUGAAUAUGGGGGGACCAUCCUCCAAGGCUAAAUACUCCUGACUGACCGAUAGUGAACCAGUACCGUGAGGGAAAGGCGAAAAGAACCCCGGCGAGGGGAGUGAAAAAGAACCUGAAACCGUGUACGUACAAGCAGUGGGAGCACGCUUAGGCGUGUGACUGCGUACCUUUUGUAUAAUGGGUCAGCGACUUAUAUUCUGUAGCAAGGUUAACCGAAUAGGGGAGCCGAAGGGAAACCGAGUCUUAACUGGGCGUUAAGUUGCAGGGUAUAGACCCGAAACCCGGUGAUCUAGCCAUGGGCAGGUUGAAGGUUGGGUAACACUAACUGGAGGACCGAACCGACUAAUGUUGAAAAAUUAGCGGAUGACUUGUGGCUGGGGGUGAAAGGCCAAUCAAACCGGGAGAUAGCUGGUUCUCCCCGAAAGCUAUUUAGGUAGCGCCUCGUGAAUUCAUCUCCGGGGGUAG